CGGCAUUAUCUCUCAUGAUUUGAAAUAGCUCAACUGGAAAUCCAUCACAUCCACUAGCUUUGUUCACAGUGAUGCUUUCUAAGGCCCACCUGACUUCACAUUCCAGGAUGACUGGCUUUAGGAUAGUGAUAACACCAUUGUUAUUAUCUUGGUCGUGAAGUUCUUCUUUUGUACAGUUCUUCUGUGUAUUUUUGCCACCUCUUCUUAAUAUCUUCUGCUUCUGAUAGUUAAAGUUAGUUCAGUUCAGUUGCUCAGUCAUGUCCAACUCUUUGC